GUAAUGGGUUCUUUUGUUGUUGCAGAUGGCUUUGAAUUUCACUAUGUUGCAAUCGGAAAGCCUUGAGCGUUUCAGGAUCACUUCUAAUAUUUUCCUGUUGAUACUCAGUGUGGCUCUCCACAGCUGGCUGAGAGAAAAAAGUUGAAACUGCUUAUUUGCCCUGACAAGUCUUCACCCCCAUGUUUUUGAUGAUUUGCUGUGCUCUGUGCUUGACUUCAGCAGCAGCUAAUAAGUAACUCCUGAUCCAGCAAAACUUCCAAAGGUUGACAGAUAUCACUUGAGCUCCCAUUUCAGAGACUCUCAUGCUGGUUUUGUACGCUCUGAAGGUUUCCAUGUACUUGCAGUAAGGAGUAAUCUUCGAAAGGGUUCAACUUCAAGAAAACUGCUCACCUUCAUAAACUUCCUCUCAUGACCAAGCUUUCAAGCAUCACUUUUUGUUCUCUGAGCCAUUCAAAUGCUGCUUUGAGUGGAAGAAUACCUCAAGCAUAUUACCCUACCUGAUCAAGGAAAUUAGAGCAUUGACCUCAGAUUUGGACACCACAUAAAAUGAUAUACUAGACCUCAGGACACCAUUAAUUUUCUGUUAUUCAAGUGCCUUUCUAGUCUUGCUGAAGAAGUCACCAUUAAAGCUAAUCUGUAAUAUAAGUCCUGAAAAUUUUUAUCUUGACUGUCUGUAAGCCCACUGGAGCAUCUCUUGCAUUGUGGAUUUGGUUUCUUCUUUGUUGUUUUUUCAAUGGGUAAAUUAUUGCCAAAAAUCAGAUUUUUAUAUAAAGCAUAGAUUUUGUUUCA